AUCUUCUUGACCAUCAUUAGACCUGCACCAAAUUGAACCAAGAUUAGUUCAACUAAUCAAAUUCUUCUAUACAUUCAUCAGAAGAACCCAUAUGAAUGAUUCAUAAGAAAGAUAAGAGAGCACAUUCAAUUAGAAGGAUUUAACGAACUUCUUCAAAGAUACAUUAACCAUAGUUUCAAGACUACUGAACUGAAUACAUAUUUAGAAUCAUCCAUUUUUUUUGCAAAAGCUUAUAUGUUCUUUCUGCAAGGCUUUAGUGAAACCGAGUAAGGUUUUUUGGCAUCAACUAUAGCACACAAGGCCAACUUUCCUCUAUUUGGCUAUUUGACAGACCAGACCAAAAAGAUUUAGCAGUCAUAAACAACUUGGUAUUGCUGCACAGAAAAGAAUACAAAAUACAAAUAUGCCCCAUAUUGUAAUAAACACCUCAAGUUGCCAAAAAGGUUUUGAUGUUCAUGUCGCGAACAUUAGAGGCAAAAUAUGUGGAAACAGGUGAAAAUCUGUAGAAACAUGUGAAGUAAAAAUUAUUGCCUACCCCGGAUUGUCAACGUCUCGGU
rnacentral:misc_RNA from 1 species